GUGGCAUUGGUCAAGUCCAGGCAGCUGACCCUCCCAGAGCUGCAAACAGAUGGCUAAUGACAGCCUAGGACAUCCAACCAGCUCUGACAAUUUGUCACAUUUCCAAGCUGUGGUGACAAGUAGUCCCCUGACACCUGCUGCAGCUCUCAUUUGAAAUCCUGAAUGUUACUGAUAAUCUCAACUAAGUACUUUGCACAGGAGCCCCAAAUUUCACCCUACAGACAGAUCCCUUCGCUGUCUAAUAAACUAACCAGAAACCUCUACUGCCAGCUCCUAAGGUCAGCUCUGGGUCAGGCUGCACUUGAGGUUUCGUGAAGCUCAGAAGACACUGGUAGGGAAUCUUCAUUUUUUCAUGUAACUGGUAAACAUAGCAUCCAAAUACUGAGUUUCUGAGUCAUCAUACUGAAGUGUCAAUCAAGCCAUAUUCUGCACAGGCAUAGCCUAGUGCUUGUGGAAGGAUGUCAGGCUUGUGGAAUCAGCAAAGGGCUGAAUCUGUCUUGGCUGUUUGCCCUGAAGUCCUGCUGUUUGAACAAG
rnacentral:lncRNA from 1 species